CGUGUCUAUCGUACCUUGUUGCUUCGGCGGGCCCGCCGUUUCGACGGCCGCCGGGGAGGCCUUGCGCCCCCGGGCCCGCGCCCGCCGAAGACCCCAACAUGAACGCUGUUCUGAAAGUAUGCAGUCUGAGUUGAUUAUCGUAAUCAGUUAAAACUUUCAACAACGGAUCUCUUGGUUCCGGCAUCGAUGAAGAACGCAGCGAAAUGCGAUAAGUAAUGUGAAUUGCAGAAUUCAGUGAAUCAUCGAGUCUUUGAACGCACAUUGCGCCCCCUGGUAUUCCGGGGGGCAUGCCUGUCCGAGCGUCAUUGCUGCCCUCAAGCACGGCUUGUGUGUUGGGCCCCCGUCCCCCUCUCCCGGGGGACGGGCCCGAAAGGCAGCGGCGGCACCGCGUCCGGUCCUCGAGCGUAUGGGGCUUUGUCACCUGCUCUGUAGGCCCGGCCGGCGCCAGCCGACACCCAACUUUAUUUUUCUAAGGUUGACCUCGGAUCAGGUAGGGAUACCCGCUGAACUUAAGCAU
rnacentral:rRNA from 1 species